AGAGUUUGAUCCUGGCUCAGAACGAACGCUGGCGGCGUGCUUCAUACAUGCAAGUCGAGCGAGAAAGUUCCCUUCGGGGAACGAGUAAAGCGGCAAACGGGUGAGUAACACGUGGGAAACCUGCCCUUCGGCGGGGGAUAAGCUCUCGAAAGAGGGUCUAAUACCGCAUAACAUCGGAAAUUCGCAUGUUUUUCCGAUCAAAGCAGCAAUGCACCGGAGGAUGGUCCCGCGCCUGAUUAGCUUGUUGGCGGGGUAACGGCCCACCAAGGCAACGAUCAGUAGCCGGCCUGAGAGGGUGAUCGGCCACACUGGGACUGAGAUACGGCCCAGACUCCUACGGGAGGCAGCAGUAGGGAAUAUUGCGCAAUGGCCGCAAGGCUGACGCAGCAACGCCGCGUGGAUGAUGAAGCUUUUCGGAGUGUAAAAUCCUUUUUGUGGGGAAGAACGCCUUCGGGUUGACGGUACCCUCAGAAUAAGUCCCGGCCAACUCCGUGCCAGCAGCCGCGGUAACACGGGGGGGACAAGCGUUGUUCGGAUUCACUGGGCGUAAAGCGCUCGUAGGCGGUCUUGCAAGUUGAAUGUGAAAACCGAAGGCUCAACCUUCGGCCUGCAUCCAAAACUGCAAGUCUAGAGUACUGGAGAGGAUGGCGGAAUUCCUGGUGUAGCGGUGAAAUGCGUAGAUAUCAGGAGGAACACCGGCGGCGAAGGCGGCCAUCUGGACAGAUACUGACGCUGAGGAGCGAAGGCCGGGGUAGCAAACAGGAUUAGAUACCCUGGUAGUCCCGGCGGUAAACGAUGGGCACUAGGUGUUGGCGGUAUCGACCCCGCCAGUGCCGCAGCAAACGCAUUAAGUGCCCCGCCUGGGGAGUACGGUCGCAAGAUUGAAACUCAAAGGAAUUGACGGGGGCCCGCACAAGCGGUGGAGUAUGUGGUUUAAUUCGACGCAACGCGAAGAACCUUACCUGGACUUGACAUAUGCUGGAAAGUCUCAGAGAUGAGACCUCCUCCUCGGAGGCCGGUAUACAGGUGCUGCAUGGCUGUCGUCAGCUCGUGCCGUGAGGUGUUGGGUUAAGUCCCGCAACGAGCGCAACCCCUGUUCUUAGUUGCCAUCAGGUUAAGCUGGGAACUCUAAGGAGACUGCCGGUGACAAGCCGGAGGAAGGUGGGGAUGACGUCAAGUCCUCAUGGCCCUUACGUCCAGGGCUACACACGUACUACAAUGGCCGGUAUAGAGGGCAGCAAGCCCGCGAGGUGGAGCUAAUCCCUAAACCCGGCCUCAGUUCAGAUUGGAGUCUGCAACUCGACUCCAUGAAGGAGGAAUCGCUAGUAAUCGCAGAUCAGCAGGCUGCGGUGAAUACGUUCCCGGGCCUUGUACACACCGCCCGUCAAGCCAUGGGAGUGGGGGGUACCCGAAGUCGCCGAUCUAACCUUCGGGAUGACGGCGCCUAAGGUAAAACCCACGACUGGGGCUAAGUCGUAACAAGG
rnacentral:rRNA from 1 species